AGCGAAACUGCGAAUGGCUCAUUAUAUAAGUUAUCGUUUAUUUGAUAGUGCCUUACUACUUGGAUAACCGUGGUAAUUCUAGAGCUAAUACAUGCUAAAAAUCCCGACUCCGGAAGGGAUGUAUUUAUUAGAUUAAAAACCAAUGCCCUCUGGGCUCCCUGGUGAUUCAUGAUAACUUCUCGAAUCGCACGGCCUUGCGCCGGCGAUGGUUCAUUCAAAUUUCUUCCCUAUCAACUUUCGAUGUUUGGGUAGUGGCCAAACAUGGUGGCAACGGGUAACGGAGGGUUAGGGCUCGACCCCGGAGAAGGAGCCUGAGAAACGGCUACUACAUCCAAGGAAGGCAGCAGGCGCGCAAAUUACCCAAUCCCGACACGGGGAGGUAGUGACAAUAAAUACUGAUACAGGGCUCUUUUGGGUCUUGUAAUUGGAAUGAGUACAAUUUAAAUCCCUUAACGAGGAACAAUUGGAGGGCAAGUCUGGUGCCAGCAGCCGCGGUAAUUCCAGCUCCAAUAGCGUAUAUUAAAGUUGUUGUGGUUAAAAAGCUCGUAGUUGAACCUUGGGCCUGGCUGGCCGGUCCGCCUCACCGCGUGUACUGGUCCGGCCGGGCCUUUCCCUCUGUGGAACCCCAUGCCCUUCACUGGGUGUGGCGGGGAAACAGGACUUUUACUUUGAAAAAAUUAGAGUGCUCCAGGCAGGCCUAUGCUCGAAUACAUUAGCAUGGAAUAAUGAAAUAGGACGCGCGGUUCUAUUUUGUUGGUUUCUAGGACCGCCGUAAUGAUUAAUAGGGACAGUCGGGGGCAUCAGUAUUCAAUUGUCAGAGGUGAAAUUCUUGGAUUUAUUGAAGACUAACUACUGCGAAAGCAUUUGCCAAGGAUGUUUUCAUUAAUCAGGAACGAAAGUUAGGGGAUCGAAGACGAUCAGAUACCGUCGUAGUCUUAACCAUAAACUAUGCCGACUAGGGAUCGGACGAUGUUAUUUUUUGACUCGUUCGGCACCUUACGAGAAAUCAAAGUGCUUGG
rnacentral:rRNA from 1 species